CUCCGUCCUGUAUUAAGUUUUCCCUCCCCGCAGCUUUUCCCUUAGACGCCGUGACCAGUAACCGUCCAGGAAGUACUCCCCCGCCCAUCCCGAUUCCGAGGACCCGAGCCCUAGAGCGGCCUAGCCGGGUGGAUCCGGAGGGUCCUACCUCUCGCUCUCUUUCCACCCACUAUCCGUGCACACCCCUUUGACAGCCAAGACCUUGCGGAGAGCCAGAGACCGGUCCCCUGGGGCAGACCACUGCCGACUCACGGAGCUUGGGGCCAACGCGCGAGCAAGGAUCCGGCCCCCGGGAGCCUGCUCAGGGAUCCAAGAGCAUGGUCAACUGGCAAGACAGAUAAAGAUACUGAAGAGAGAGGACCUCUGAUAAUGACUUCACAAUUUCCUUGGCCGUAAGGAAACAACUCCAAAAGAAGAUGUCCGUUCAUGGCCUUCACCCAUCAGGCUCUGACACUAAACUCCUAAGGACUCUCUCUACCCAUGGAUUUUGAAUGGAUAUUAGCAACAGAAUUGACAAUCUCUUACACUAACAGUUUGCUCCCUGUUCCAACUCCCCAAUCAACCACUGCUGCUUCUCUGACAGCCCAUGCCUGCACAGAGACUGCUAUUUUCUGAUGGUGAGUGAGUCUAAGCCACCAGCCACCAGCUCAGACUACAGAAGCUACUGGUACCCUGGAAACAGACCCCUCCUCUGCUGGCUUCAUCUCACUGAGUUUGCUAACUUGUACUACCAUCACCAUUAGGGAAUCAGAUCUAAAUCCGAGGGGGUGGGACCAGAAGAGCCUCGUAGCACCAGAUGUAGUGCAGCACCCACAGUAACCCAUCAGCUCUGAUGUUGCCUGUUAUCCCUGACCAGGUUAUGGGCUCCUGAAAUGCAUUUUUUAAAUGUAAACGUAGCUAUAAGAAUCUUGUCCUAGCCUACUGGGCUUCUAGAUUUGUCAGGAUAUGCCUAAAUUGAAAGAUAGGUACAACCUGAAACUGAGCCAGAGCUACAAGAUGAUUUUAGGUCCCUACAGUUCUUCAUUAGCACAGAGAAUCCUGCUGAAAUAAUUCGAUUAAAUUGCAGGAGAUGGAACGUCUAAUCUGCUUCUGGCUCUGCCAUUCCCCAGCUGUGUGACCUUGCAUGAACUAACUUCUGCAAACUCCGGUCUUCUCACCUGUAAAAUGAGAGCUAGAUCAGAGCUUCUCAGAUGUUUGGGUUAUAAUAAUUACUAGGGCACUUGAUAAAUGGAUUUGGCUCCAUUUCUGGAGAUUCAGAAUGAAGGCAACAGUGGCCUAUGUAUAAGAAUUUGCAUUUUAAUAAACUCUCUGGGUGAUUCA
rnacentral:lncRNA from 1 species